rnacentral:lncRNA from 1 species
AAGAGGGCUGCUGGUGCACCAGUUCUUGUGUGCCCGCACCUGUGAGCUUUGGGAUGCAGGUGCGAGCCCCAAGUGCGAUAGUUGAACCGCAGAAGCAGUUCUGGAGCAUUUGGCCAUGGACUGCAAGUGCGGAUUUUUGUGUGCACCGGCGAAUGCACAGGUGUGAUGAGGAAGGGCGCAGGAGCGGACCCAGCCGCAGAAGCAGUACGCUUGCCGCAGAAGCGGGACCGCAGAAGCAGGAUCCCAUCCUCAGAAACGGCCCUUACUGGGCUUGAAGACCUCCGCAGAAGUGGACUACGCACCGCAAAUGCGGCCAAGGCACCGUAGGUGCGAUAAUAGCUGGAGGAAGACCCCAAUUUAAUGCGGGACUUAGUCAUUUGUAGCUCAUUUAUUUCAUUGUUUGGGUGAUUCUUGGAGCUCUUAGAGAGGGGAUUUCACCUAGCACUUUGAGGUAAGUAAUUUUUACACAAUGUGAGUUAAAUACAUAGUUUAUGGGUAGAUUAUAACAUGUUAAUUGGUGAAAUCAAGGGUUUAGAUGAAUAUGGUACACAAAUCCCUAGGUGUAUUUUCCAAUAUAGGGUACACCACUCCCUGGUUGAUGAUAUUUUGGAUAUAGGGUCACCACACCCUAGUCUCCUCACCAAUAUUGGGUAGACCAAUCCCUAUAUGUAUUUUCCAACAUAGGGUACACCACUCUCUAGUUGAUGAUAUUAAAGACAUUGGGUCACCAACUCCCUAGUCCCCUUGACAGUAUAGGGUACACCAAUACCUAGGCAUAGUUUCUAAUAUAGGGUACACCACUCCCUAGUUGAUGAUAUUUUGGACAUAGGGUACACCACUCCCUAGUCUCCUUACCUGUAUAAGGUACACAAAUCACUAUCUGUGUUUUCAAACAUAGGGUACACCACUCCCUAGUUGAUGAUAUUUUUGACAUAGGGUACCCUACACCCUAGACUCCUUACCAAUAUUAGGUAGACCAAUCCCUAACUGUGUUUUCCAAUAUCGAGGACACCAGACCCUAGUUGAUGAUAUUUUACACAUAGGGUCACCAACUCCCUAGUCUUGUUACUAGUAUAGGGUACACAAUCCCUACCUGUGUUUUCCAUCAUAUGGUUCCCCACUCCUUAGUAGAUGAAAGUUUAGACACAGCACACCACUCCGUAGUCUCUUUACCUGUAUAGGGUACACCAAUCCCUAGCUUUGUUUUCCAACAUAGGGUAUACCAUUCCCUAGUUAAUGAUAUUUUAGACAUAGGGUACACCACUCCCUAGCCUCCUUACCAACAUAGGGUACACAAAUCCCUAGCUUUGUUUUCCAACAUAUGGUAUAUCACUCCCUAGUUGAUGAUAUUUCAGACAUAUGGUACACCACUCCCUAAUUUCCUUAAUAGUAUAGGGUACACCAAAAUCCUAGAAGGAUUCCCUAACAAAGUGUACACCACUCCCUAGUUGGUGAUAUUUUAGACAUAGAAUGCAUCGCUCACUAGUCUCUUUACCAGUAUAGGGUACUCCAAUCCCUAGUUGUGUUUUGCAACAUAGGGUACACCACCCCCUAGUUGAUGAUAUUUUAGAUAUAGGGUCACCACUCCAUGCUCCCCUUACCAGUAUAGGAUACACCAAUCCCUAGGUGUGUUUUCCAACAUAGGGUAAACCAUUCCUUAGUUGAUGAUAUUUUAGAUGAAGGGUCACCACUCCCUAGUCUCCUUACAAGUAUAGGGUACAUCAAUCCCUAGCUUUGUUUUCCAACAUAGGGUACACCACUCCCUAGUCAAUGAUAUUUUAUACAUAUGGUACAACACUCCCUAGCCUCCUUACUAGUAUAGGGUACACCAAUCCCUAGUUGUGUUUUCCAACAUAGGGUACACCACUCCAUAGUUGAUGAUAUUAUAGACAUAGGGUACACCACUCCCUACUCUCCUUACCAGUAUAAGGUACAUCAAUCCCUAGUUGUGUUUUCCAACAUAGGAUAUACCACUCCCUAGUUGAUGAUAUUUUAUACAUAGGGUACACCACUCCCUAGUCUCCUUAUGAGUAUAAGGUACACCAAUCAAUAGCUGUGUUUCCCAAUGUAGGGUACACCACUCCUUAGUUGAUGAUAUUUUAGAUAUAGGGUCACCAGUCCCUGGUCUCGUUACCUGUAUAGGGUACACUAAUCCCUAGCUGUUCUUUCCAACCUAGGGUACACCACUCCCUAGUUGAUGUUGUUUUAGACAUAGGGUACACCACUCCCUAUUCUUCUUACUAGUAUAGGGUACACGAUCGUUAGUUGUAUUUUCCAUCAUAGGCUACCCCAGUCCUUAGUUGGUGAUAUUAUAGAUAUAGGGUGCACCACUCCCUAGUAUCCUUACCAGUAUAAGGUACACCAAUCCCUAUAUGUGUUUUCCAGUUAUGGGUUCCCCACUCCAUAGUUGAUGAAAUUUCUGACAUAGGUUACACCAUUCCCUAGUCUCCCUACCUGUAUAGGGUACACGAAUCCCUAGGUGUAUUUUCCAAUAUAGGGUACACCACUCCCUAGUUGAUGAUAUUAUAGACAAAGGGUCACCAACACUCUAGGCUGCUUACCAUUUUAGGGUACACAAUCCCUAGCUGUGUUUUCCAUCAUAUGGUUCCCCACUUCCUAGUUGAUGAUAUUUUAUAUAUAGGGUGAACAAGUCCCUAGUCUCAUUACCAGUAUAGAGUACACUAAUCCCUAGCUGUGUUUUUCAAUAUAGGGUUCCCCACUCCCUAGUUGAUGAAAGUUUAGACAUAGGGUACAACACUUCCUAGUCUCCUUACUUGUAUAGGGCACACAAAUCCCUAGCUUUGUUUUCCAACAUAAGGUACACCACUCCAUUGUUAAUAAUAUUUUAGACAUAGGGUACACCACUCCCUAGCCUCCUUACCAGUAUAGGGUACACCAAUCCCUAGCUGUGGUUUCCAACAUAGGGUACACCAUUCUCUAGCCUCCUUACCAGUAUAGGGUACACCAAUCCCUAGCUAUGUUUUCCAACAUAGGGUACACCACUCCCUAACCUCCUUACCAGUAUAGGGUACACCAAUCCCUAGCUGUGUUUUCUAACCUAUGGUAUACGACUCCCUAGUUGAUGAUAUUUUAGACAUAUGGUACACCACUUCCUAGUUUCCUUACCAGUAUAGGGUACACCGAAAUCCUAGAUGUGUUUCCCAACAUAUUGUGCACCACUCCCUAGUUGAUGAUAUAUUAGACAUAGGGUGCGUCCCUCCCUAGUCGCCUUACUAGUAUAGGAUACACCGAAACCCUAGCUGUAUUUUGCAACAUAUGGUACACCACUCCCUAAUUGAUGAUAUUUUAAAUAUAGGGUCACCACUCCAUACUCCCCUUACCAGUAUAGGAUACGCCAAUCCCUAGCCGUGUUUUCCAACAUAGGGUACACCACUCCUUAGUUGAUGAUAUCUUAGACNNNNNNNNNNNNNNNNNNNNNNNNNGAAGGGUCACCGCUUCCUAGUCUCCUUACAAGUAUAGGGUACACCAAUCCCUAACUUUGUUUUCCAACAUAGGGUACACCACUCCCUAGUUAAUGAUAUUUUAGAUAUAGGGUGCAUCACUCUCUAGCCCCCUUACUAGUAUAGAUUACACUAGUUCCUAGUUGUGUUUUCAAAAAUAGGGUAUACCACUCCCUGGUUGAUGAUAUUUUAGACAUAUGGUACACCCCUCCCUAGUAUCCUUACCAAUAUAGGGUACACCAAAAUCGUAGAUGUGUUUCCCAACAUAGUGUAUACCACUCCCUAGCUGAUGAUAUUUUAGAUAUAGGGUGCAUCAAUCCCUAGUCUCCUUACCAGUAUAGGGUACAUCAAUCCCUAGAUAUGUUUUGCAACAUAGGGUACACUACUUCCUAGUUGAUGAUAUUUUAGAUAUAGGAUCACCACUCCAUACUCCCCUUACAAGUAUAGGAUACACCAAUCCCUAGCUGUGUUUUCCAACAUAGGGUACACCACUCCUUAGUUGAUGAUAUUUUAGACGAAGGGUCACCACUCUAUAGUCUCCUUACCUGUAUAGGGUACACGAAUCCUUAUCUGUGUUUUCCAACAUAGGAUACACCACUCCCUAGUUGAUGAUAUUUUUGACAUAGGGUACACCACACCCUAGUCUCUUUACUAGUAUAGGGUACACCAAUCCUUAGGUGUAUUUUCCAACAUUGGAUUCACCCCUCCCUAGUUGAUGAUAUUAUAGACAUAGGGUAUAGGGUACACCAAUCCCUAGGUGUAUUUUCCAACAUAGGGUACACCACUCCCUUGUUGAUGAUAUUUUGGACAUAGGGUCACCACUCCCUAGUAUCCUUACCAAUAUUGGGUAGACCAUUCCCUAGCUGUGUUUUCCAACUACGGGUACACCACUCCCUAGUUGAUGAUAUUUUAGACAUAGGGUGACCAACUCCCUAGUCUCCUUACCAGUAUAGGGUACACAAUCCCUAGCUGUGUUUUCCAUCAUAUGGUUCCCCACUCCCUAGUUGAUGAUAUUUUAGAUAUAGGGUGCACCAUUCCCUAGUCUCGUUAGUAGUAUAGGGUAGACCAAUCCCUAGCUGUGUUUUCUAAUAUAGGGUUUCCCACUCCCUAGUUGACGAAAGUUUAGACAUACGGCAUGCCACUCCCUAGUGUCCUUACCUGUANNNNNNNNNNNNNGAUAUCUUAGACGAAGGGUCACCACUCCCUAGUCUCCUUACAAGUAUAGGGUACACCAAUCCCUAACUUUAUUUUCCAACAUAGGGCACACCAAUCCCUAGCCUCCUUACCAGUAUAGAUUACACCAAUUCGUAGUUGUGUUUUCCAAAAUAGGGUAUACCACUCCCUGGUUGAUGAUAUUUUAGACAUAUGGUACACCACUCCCUAAUAUCCUUACCAAUAUAGGAUACACCAAAAUCGUAGAUGUGUUUCCCAACAUAGUGUAUACCACUCCCUAGUUGAUGAUAUUUUAGACAAAGGGUGCAUCAUUCCCUAGUCUCCUUACCAGUAGAGGUUACACCAAUCCCUAGAUGUGUUUUGCAACAUAGGGUACACUACUCCCUAGUUGGUGAUAGUUUAGAUAUAGGAUCACCACUCCAUACUCCCCUUACAAGUAUAGGAUACACUAAUCCCUAGCUGUGUUUUCCAACAUAAGGUACACCACUCCUUAGUUGAUGAUAUUUUAGACGAAGGGUCACCACUCCAUAGUCUCCUUACCUGUAUAGGGUACAUGAAUCCCUAUCUGUGUUUUCCAACAUAGCGUACACCACUCCCUAGUUGGUGAUAUUUUUGACAAAGGGUACACCACACCCUAGUCUCUUUACUAUUAUAGGGUACACCAAUCCCUAGGUGUAUUUUCCAACAUAAGGUACACCACUCCCUAGUUGAUGAUAUUAUAGACAUAGGGUAUAGGGUACACCAAUCCCUAGGUGUAUUUUCCAACAUAGGGUACACCACUCCCUUGUUGAUGAUAUUUUGGACAUAGGGUCACCACUCCCUAGUAUCCUUACCAAUAUUGGGUAGACCAUUCCCUAGCUGUGUUUUCCAACUUCGGGUAUACCACUCCCUAGUUGAUGCUAUUUUAGACAUAGGGUGACCAACUCCCGAGUCUCCUUACUAGUAUAGGGUACACAAUACCUAGCUGUGUUUUCCAUCAUAUGGUUCCCCACUCCCUAGUUGAUGAUAUUUUAGAUAUAGGGUGCACCACUCCCUAGUCUUGUUACCAGUAUAGGGUAGACCAAUCCCUAGCUGUGUUUUCCAAUAUAGGGUUCCCCACUCCCUAGUUGACGAAAGUUUAGACAUAGGGUACACCACUCCCUAGUGUCCUUACCUGUAUAGGGUCCACCAAUCCUUAGCUUUGUUUUCCAACAUAGGGUACACCACUCCCUAGUUAAUCAAAUUUUAGACAUAGGGUACAACACUCCCUAGCCUCCUUACCAGUAUAGGGUACACCAAUCCCUAGCUGUGUUUUCUAACCUAUGGUAUAUGACUCCCUAGUUGAUGAUAUUUUAGACAUAUGGUACACCACUUCCUAGUUUCCUUACCAGUAUAGGGUACACCGAAAUCCUAGAUGUGUUUCCCAACAUAUUGUGCACCACUCCCUAGUUGAUGAUAUAUUAGAUAUAGGGUGCAUCCCUCCCUAGUCUCCUUACUAGUAUAGGGUACACCAAUCCCUAGGUGUGUUUUGCAACAUAGGGUACACCACUCCCUAAUUGAUGAUAUUUUAAACAUAGGGUCACCACUCCAUACUCCCCUUACCAGUAUAGGAUACACGAAUCCCUAGCCGUGUUUCCCAAUAUAGGGUUCCCCACUUCCUAGUUGAUGAAAGUUUAGACGAAGGGUCACCACUCCCUAGUCUCCUUACAAGUAUAGGAUACACCAAUCCCUAACUUUGUUUUCCAACAUAGGGCACCCCACUCCCUUGUUAAUGAUAUUUUAGAUAUAGGGUACACCACUUCCUAACCUCCUUACCAGUAUAGGUUACACCAAUUCCUAGUUGUGUUUUCCAAAAUAGGGUAUACCACUCCCUGGUUGAUGAUAUUUUAAACAUAUGGUACACAACUCCCAGGUAUCCUUACCAAUAUAGGGUACACCAAAAUCGUAGAUGUGUUUUCCAACAUAGUGUAUACCACUCCCUAGUUGAUGAUAUUUUAGACAUAGGGUGCAUCAAUCCCUAGUCUCCUUACCAGUAUAGAGUACACCAAUCCCUAGAUAUGUUUUGCAACAUAGGGUACACUACUGCCUAGUUGAUGAUAUUUUAGAUAUAGGAUCACCACUCCAUACUCCUCUUACAAGUAUAGGAUACACCAAUCCCAAGCUGUGUUUUCCAACAUAGGGUACACCAUUCCUUAGUUGAUGAUAUUUUAGACGAAGGGUCACCACUCCAUAGUCUCCUUACCUGUAUAGGGUACACGAAUCCCUAUUUGUGUUUUCCAAUAUAGGGUACACCACUCCCUAGUUGAUGAUAUUUUUGACAUAGGGUACACCACACCCUAGUCUCUUUACUAGUAUAGGGUACACCAAUCCCUAGAUGUGUUUUUCAACCUAGUGCACACCACUCCCUAAUUGAUGAUAUUAUUGACAUAGGGUCACCACUCCCUAGUCUCCUUACCUGUAUAGGGUACACCAAUACCUAGGUGUAGUUUUCAAUAUAAGGUACACCACUCCUUAGUUGAUGAUAUUUUGGACAUAGGAUCACCACUCCUAAGUCUCCUUACCAAUAUUGGGUAGACCAAUCCCUAUAUGUGUUUUCCAACAUAGGGUACACCACUCCCUAGUUGAUGAUAUUUUAGACAUAGGGUGCAUCACUCCCUAGUCUUCUUACCAGUAUAGGGUACACCAAUCCCUAACUGUGUUUUGCAACAUAGGGUACACCACUCCCUAGUUGAUGAAAGUUUAGGCAUUGGGUUCACCACUCCCUAGUUCCCUUACCUGUAUAGGGUACACGAAUCCCUAGAUUUGUUUUCCAAUAUAGGGUACACCAGUCCCUAGUUAAUGAUAUUUUAGACAUAGGGUACACCACUCCAUAGCCUCCUUACCAGUAUAGGGUACACCAAUCCCUAGCUAUAUUUUCCAACAUAUGGUAUACCACUCCCUAGUUGAUGAUAUUUCAGAUAUAUGGUACAUUACUCCCCAGUUUCCUUACCAGUAUAGGGUACAUUAAUCCCUAACCGUGUUUUCCAACAUAGGGUACGCCACUCCCUAGUUGAUGGUAUUUUAGACAUAGUGUCACCACUGCCUAGUCUCCUUACAAGUGUAGGGUACAUCAAUCCCUUACUGUGCUUUCCAACAUAGGGUACACCACUUACUAGUUGAUGAUAUUUUAGACAUAGGGUACACCACUCGCUAGUCUCCUUACCAUUAUAGGGUACACGAAUCCCUAGCUGUGUUUCCUAACAUAGGGUACACCACUCCCCAGUUGAUGUUAUUUUAGACAUAGGGUACACCAGUCCUUAGUCUCAUUACAAGUAUAGGGGACACCAAUCCCUAUCUUUGUUUUCCAAUAUAGGGUAUACCUAUCUCUAGUUGAUCUGAUCUUAAAUGCAGAGUUCACCACUCCCUGAUAUCUUUGUUAAUAUAGGGUACAUCAUUCUCUCAUCACAUUUCCCUAACAUAAGGUACACCAAUCCUUAGUUGAGGCACCAUUUAGACAAUCAGGGUAUACCAUUCCCAAAGUAUCAUAUUUUCCUAGGGUACACUUAUCCCAACCUUUUAUUGCUUUCAAUAAUGAAGUAGUAUAGAGUUUUGUUACAAAUAACUCAUGAAAUUUUCCUAGUGAAAACUAGAGCAAAACAAUUUCAUUUGUUUGUUUGGUUUGGUAUUUGAGUAGGUUUUACCUCAAGGCAUGGGGUUCGAAAUGACCAAAUGAAUAAGUCUCAAUCCAAAAUAAAGAAAAGAAAAGAAAAAAAGUGAAUCCAAAAUGCAGAAGCGGAUGAAAGGAUAUGGACUGCUCAAGACAUGACUGAAGUCACGAGCAUUGCAUUUCCUGUUUUGAUCAAAAGAAGCCAUAGAAGAAUGAACUAGCACUUGCGGCUAGCAAGCAUUAAGGUUCAGAUCAAAGUUUGCGUGAAGAACUAACCAAGACUCAAGAUCAAUCUUCAAAAUACGUAUAGAUAGGAAUGUUUUAACUCAUAGUUGAUAGGCUUGUUUAGUUUUUUUUGAUUUUGAUUUUGGUGUAAUAAGGAGUUCAGCAAGCAGUAACAGCAUCGACAUUAGUGAAAUCAUGGCAUUUAAGUAGUCCCAGCUACCAAAAUUUCCAGAACUACACUAACCUAAUUCCUUUAUAGCCAAGGAUGUGUAGGCAACCCCGAAAGCAAGGUUUGGUCAAAACUUUUCAAAAUGCUUCCCAUGGAGUGUCAAACAGGAAAUAAUUGGUCGUAAUUGCUCACUUUAUCUUUGCGCGGAAACUCUUCAUAUUCUCGAGAAAAGAGGGGCAGCUGUGAGCGCAUAAUAUUUUCCUCACAUAUGAAAUCACUCCUAAAAAUAUCCCAAAUAAUUUUUUUUACUUUGUAGAAUUUUAAAAGUUUUAUUUGAUUGCAUCUUUAUUUCAUUGGUAGAUCAUUUGCAUCAUUAGGAUUAUUUUAAAACCAUCAGAAAUAUUUUAUUAUUCAUUUUUUGCAUUUUUAGAUGAUAAUCACAUUAUUGGAAUUUAGUUGGCAUGUAGUUGCAUUAGUUAAGCACACAAAAUCACAAAUAUUGCAUUGGUCGUUUUUCUUUGAAUUUUAGUUAGUAAUUCAAUUAAAGCUUAAGGUGAUAAUUAGUUAAUUAUUAGACAAAUUGGAUAAUUAGGUUAGGGUCAAAUUAAAAAUUCAAUUAAAUUGGCCAAGUUUGAAUUAGAAGCAAAAGAAAAGCUGUUGGGCCAAGCCCUGAGGCUCAAACACCUUUAAUAAUCCGCCCAGACGACCCUCAUAUCCGGACCAUAUCCCUUUUAUUACCAAACGACCCCAUUUUGUCCUUAAUCAAUCCCAACCGUCCCUCAAAAUCAAUCCAACGACUCCGAACUGAACUCCAAACCCCUUAAAACUGUCUGAAUGAAUACCCCAAACCCUAAAUACCAAUCCCAAUUCCUCAUCCCUCUCACCCUCUCACCCUUAGCCGCCUACCACACCAAAGAGUAUCUCCGUCGGUGGCUCGUCUCCAAGUCUGCCAAAAUAUCACAAAAUAACCUUUGUUCCCUCCUCUUUCCAAAUCUCUUAGCCUCAUCUCUCGACUCCCUCUUUAUCGAUUCGUAUAGCAGAUCUAAAAAUGACCAUAAACCCUAGUUUGCCUAUUUUUACCUGAUUUUUCAGUGGUUUAUGAACUCUUUUUGGCCACUCCGAUUGCCUCUGAAGCCGCUUCGUCUUCUCCAAAUUUGGCUUGUAAUGAAUAUUUUUCCAUGUAGCAUUGGAUCGCAUGUGAAUUUGGCGGCUUGUGCUCAUGUGACAAUCUCCAUUACAUGCCAGAAUUCUUGUAUUUGCCGGUGUUGGUUUGGCUUUCCGGAUUCCAGCUUCACGGAUAUGUUAAAGGUUAAUCGUGGUAAGAUUUCACUGCUCCAGCCUCUUUAGCUGUUAUGUUUUAUUUGACCAUAAUGACUUUCCAUUCAUGACUAGCUAUGUGACUUCGUACAAGUCAUUUUAAGACCGUUUCUGCUGUGAAAUUGCAUUCGAUUUACUGUUAGUUAAUAUUUCUUUUUUGAGUUGUAAUUUUCUAAGUUCAAGUGUUUGUUGCCUUGUUUAAUUUGCAAAUUGGUUUAGUUGAUUUGUUAGGAUUAAUUGGAGCAAACCUGUUAUUAGGUUGAUAUGAGUAUAGAGAGAGUAAGAGCUUUGAGAUUGGUUAAUUUUCUUUUUCUUCAAUUAAAAAAUGCAAAGGUUCAGUUAUGAUUAUCGGAGUAAGGCCCAAUACUUGUUUCUUUUAAGUCAGUAUAGUUUAAAAGGACGGGGAGCUAUGGGUAAUUUCUUAAUUUAGGGAAUAUUACGGAAAGGUUCUAGAAAAGGGAGAAAAGGACUAGUAUGCAAUAAAAAAACAGAACAUGGCAAGUGUUUAGGGGGCUUAGGGGUAAAUACAGAAGUAAAAGGGGCUGAAAAAUAAGGAAAGAAUAUCUGAAGUGGACAGCUGCCCAAAUCUGUUAAAAAAAUGCAU